UGAAACUAUCCGACCCUAAUAACUCUCACUUUUCUGAAAACUCUCGAACCUUGUCAACCUCGUUCUCUCUCCAACCUGACCUGCCUCUCUCUCUCUCUCUCGAUGCCGACGUUCUUUUUGCGUUAUAUGUGGCAGGCUCCGACAUCGUUUUCAGAUCUGUGGCAAGGAUCCCCAAAUCGUUAUCUAUGUUGCACUCUCUCUGUUGGAGUUGGAUCUCAAGAUACUUCUCAUCGUUUUCAGAUCUAUGGAUUUAAUAUUGGGAGAAGGACCUUUCCCCAAAUGAUCAGUCUCUCAGAUUCGCCCCAGAAAUCGGUUUUAGCUCCAGUAGUGGGCAUCCACUCAGCGCUCUGUCUUUCAUGGUGUUCUGUUAAAUUGUUCUUCUCUUGUUAUAUGCUUUUGUUGUUCCAUUUGCUCAGUUCUUGUGAAAUUUCCUUGACUAAUUAGUUACAUUAAUUAUUUGAUUGGUUGCUUAGGAAUUUGGAUAGAUAGAUAUUUCAUUUUAUGGUUAGAGUUAUCCCUAUGAAAGGAAGAAGCGUUCUUUAAUUACUGGACAUUGUCCAUUUUCUAAUUCUAAAUAAGAAAAUAAAUCACCGAGUGUCUACCCAUACAAUUUUUCAAUCAGUGAAUGUACAGUAACUAGCUUUGGAAGCUUGAGGUGUUUAGAUCGAUAUUCAAAGUUACGAACUACUUUUUUUUAGCUUGAUGGUCAAUUUGGUUAUGUGAAACCUACAAUUAAUUAUGCACUUGGUCAGUUGUCUUUGUUUAGCUUAUCACUACUCAAUGUUAAAUGGGUAUUUGCAAAAUCCCACGUUGAACGAGGUCAAGGAUUUGCAAAAGGAUCCACCGACCUCGUGUAGUGCUAGUAUAGGCUCCUUUUACCCCUCUCGUUCAUGCUUAUAUCUCAAUUUUUAUUAUGAAAAUCCUGAUUUCCGUUUCAGAAUAUAUAAAAUGACAUGGGAUAUAGAUGGUACAUAUUGACUAGUUAUUUUUAAGGCAAAGUACUUUUGGUUGAUCAAGUGCAAUUGACGUUACAAGACAUUUAUCUAGCAAAUGAAUUUGCUGCUUUCAACUGAAAUUUUCGAGGAUGGUUUUAGUGAAGUUGCUAUUGUCCUUUCUUAUUAACUUCCCAGUAAGUGAAUGGAUACAAGUACAUUAAAUCUGCAUGCUAUUUCAGUUUUUCUUGCUCUGGACUUAAUUAUUGUUUACUCCAAUCUGGAAGGCAGUUUCCUGAGCAUGCAAUCAAGGGAUUGUUGAAGAUGAAUUGGCAACCUUGCAGUCCAUCGUAGUGAAGCUUAUUCUUAUUACAAGGACUUGGGAGACAUAUUGCUAUGCCGAACAAAGAAAAAAACCAAUAGAAACAGCAGAAGCCCCAGAGUGCCAUGAGCAAAUAGACUGAAUGAAGGGAAGGAGCUGCUGCUAUUCAUUGGAGAGAUUUGAGCACUUUGGAGCUUGCGUACAUCAUUGUUAAUUGAAUUUCAAGAGGGGAGGAAUCACGAGAGCAUAAGUGAGAUGAUGACUGCUUACUACUCAGCUGCAUUGUGGCUACAAGACCAGUGCUUGCUGCAUUGGAAAUUCAGGCAACUCAAAUGUGGUGGCAUGUUAGAGAGGGAGAUAGGAUUUAUGAACAAGAUUUCACAAGGGAGAAGAAGUUGCCUCUUUCUAAUCACAAGUACACAACCUACUUCUUGAAGCCAACAAUGGGUGCUUGGAUUAUGCUGCCAGGAAGUAUACCUUGGAGAGAAUGUCACCAAACCAGCUACUCGAAUGUGCAAAAGAUCAAUCAUCAUUUAGGGCCGUGGUUAGGGACCUAAAACUCAGAUCUCCAGUGCUGCAAACGUGAAAGAAGAAAAGAAAACAAAGCUUUGACUAUGGAAUUGUUGGCUGUGGCAUUUUCGUCCCUUGUAGCCAAAAUGGAGGAGAUUAUAUAUAGGUUGGUCAUGCUGGAAUUUCAGCCACACAGAAGUAUUCUCUUGCAUCUAAUUCAGCUUACAAUGUGGAAGAGGCUGGUGAUCUGUAAGGCAGAAAUAGAGGAAUGUAUAGAUUUGAUAAUGGAAGAAUUAGAGAGAGUUUAUAAGAGUUAGUGAAAAAGUUUGUGAACCAGCUUUUAUGAUAUGUAAAACGAUAGCAUAUUCGGCAAACAUUAUAAGAUUGUGAUUACUACUCUUAUCGCCUAAA